AGUUCGGUACUUUAAGUUAAAAGGCGAGAUUUGCAUUUUUGUAAUGAGUAAAGUUUACUCUCGAACUA
rnacentral:tRNA from 1 species